ensembl:lncRNA
GGAAAACCACACACGGGUACAGCCUAGGCCGGAUCUCAGGCCAAGUCGUCAGGGUGGCAAGAUGAUGGCGGAUGAGAGGAAACUUGUUCUGGGACCGCACCGCCCCCCCCCAUCGCCUCUCUGGCUGAGAAGAGGGCUGGGGAGCGGCCCGAGUCUGAGCUACGACAGAUUCCCCUGUGGCUCAACCCGCAACCUCCCAUCCUGCCAGACCAGACCCCUUGUCUAAAAACCUCCACUGGAGGAGCUCUUCCACCUGACUCGGAAAGGAAACACCAGCCCCGCCUCAGCCUCACACCCACCACCACCACCACCACCCGCCCCCCCCCCCGCCCCACUCUCCUCCGGACCCAGAUACCUAACAGAGGGAACAAAAAUCCAAAAAUCCUGCUGCUCUCCUUCUACCACCUCCACUUCAGAAGAGUCAGUCUCCCCCGAACACCUCAGACUCUGUGACUUCCCGCGGCCUCCCUUUCCCCGUCCCCAUUCUCUCCCCGGACGGGCCCCAUCUUACACUUGAACGACAGCUCCACCGCUCGGGGCAGCUGGACACGAUGUCCCAAAGUGGCCCGGACGGUAGCCUGGUCGAUUCCAAAGGACCCACGCACGCAGUCGGCCAUAAACGUGGUGUGGAGAUCGUGGACGUUUGCGGGCCUCUGAUGAAAUCGCUGCUCCGGGGACCCCGGCGUCUAGGACCCGUCUUCUCCGUGUUCUUCACACCGUUGCUCCUGGGCCGGUUAUUCUCUUCCCUCUCACUGACCUUAACGUUUUGUCUCUGCCAUUGAAUUUUGACUGUGCGAAUGUGACUUGCCGCUGUAGGGCUGCGUGGAUCUCUCAGGCAUCCUGCUGUGCCGUGCGGGGGGGAGGGGGGAAUCCUUGGUGGGUGGGUCGAUAGACGUCCCUUUGGUUGUGCCCUGGAGGGGAGAGACAGAGGGGACGACUCAAUCCACCACGAACGCUGAUGUCGCUCCGAUAAACCUGUAGCGGUGAUUCUAGUUUAUGGCCCGUGUCCUGAAAAUAACUUCCCGAAGGGCCAGCCCGGCGGCACAGCGGUUAAGUUCGCACGUUCCGUUUUGUCAGCCAGGGGUUCGCAGGUUCGGAUCCAGGGUGCGGACGUGGCGCCGCUUGGCGAGCCACGCUGUGGUCAGCGUCCCGCCUAUCAAGGGGAGGGGGAUGGGCACGGAUGUUAGCUCGGGACCACUCUCCCGGGGCAAAAAGAGGAGAAUUGGCAGCAGGUGUCAGCUCGGGGCUCGUCUUCCUCGAAAAAUAAAUUAAUUAAAUAAAUAAAAACAACUUCCCAAACCUCUCUGAUAACUUGAAGCUUUGAAGUUUUGCGAGGUGAAAUCAGGUGAUAAAAAAGUCCACGGACGGGGGCGGCCCCGUGGCCGAGUGGUUAAGUUCACAAGCUCCCCUUCGGCGGCCCAGGGUUUUGCCGGUUCAGAUCCCGGGCACGGCACGGACACGGCACCGCUCGUCGGGCCGUGUGGAGGCGGCGUCCCACAUGCCACAACUGGAAGGGCCCUCAACUAAGAUAGACAACUAUGUCAUGGGGGGGGGGAUUGGGGGAGAAAAAUCGGGAGGGGGGGA